GUGAGUAGAAACAGAUAAAACAGUUCAUUCAUUCAUUACAUGCUUUCAUGAUAUGUGUCACAGCACAAACAUUCCACAUCUCGGAUUAGACAUGACCUCAAAACUCCCUCUGUCGGCGCCCGACUCCUCCUAUGGAGCUCACACAGGACUUUCACUGCCAUUGACAGAUUAUGGGCUAUUGAUGUCGCCUUGGUCCAAUCCCCACUAUCAGUAAAUAAUGCAAUGCACCAUAGUCGUGAUUCUAAUGCAAUCACCCUAG
rnacentral:lncRNA from 1 species